rnacentral:rRNA from 1 species
UACGUAGGGUGCAAGCGUUGUCCGGAAUUAUUGGGCGUAAAGAGCUCGUAGGCGGUCCGUCACGUCGGCUGUGAAAACCUGGGGCUCAACCCCGGGCCUGCAGCCGAUACGGGCGGACUAGAAUUCGGUAGGGGAGACUGGAAUUCCUGGUGUAGCGGUGAAAUGCGCAGAGUAUCAGGAGGAACACCGGUGGCGAAGGCGGUUCUCUGGGCAUGUCCUGACGCUGAGGAGCGAAAGCGUGGGGAGCGAACAGGAUAG